rnacentral:lncRNA from 1 species
CAUUUAAUAGCUUUUUCUUCUUUUUCACUGAAUGUCCUUUUAUCUUGCAGCUAUGUGAAUGCACUGCCUAGUCAUAAUAAACAAGAAAGAGAAAGCAGAGUGCCCCUUUCCUGGAUAGCUGGAUUGGCUAUGGCCCUGGGCACACCUGGAGUUGUUGAGGGUGUCCGUUUCCAUGGCGAGGCUAUAGAACAGUGGGCGCCCUUCCAACAGGCUAGAGCCUCCAUGUCUCAGUGAGGCCAUCUUCUUGCUCCCUUGAAGCUUGGGCUGUCCUCUGAUGCCAUGUUGUCAGCCCAGACAGGCAGUGUGAUCAGGGCUCCUGGCAAGGGUCUUUGAGACACAGCCACUGCCCCUGCUUGGUGGUCGUGACUUGGGACGCAGCCUGCCUGUGACUGGAGCUGGGGGUGACGGGUGACGAUGCCUGGGGAGCCUGUGGACGUGGCAUGUGGCGUGGACCACAUGGUGACCCUGGCCAAGUCAUUCAUCUAAACCUCCCUCACCUGCUUGGGCGGCCCCGUCCCGGGAACCACUGGCACUCCUUGGCAGAGGCCAGCGCGUGGCCAGCCCCCCGGGGUUCUUGGAUGGUGGUGGCGGAGGACCCUGCGUGCAGUGUGACGCUCUGUCCUGAAUCCCUUAGCGGGUACCUACCAGGAGGAUCAGGGCAAGGUCCCUCUCCAGCUGCAGGUGAGGCCUGCGGAACUCAGCUUGGAUGGCAGCCUUUGGUGGGCCGCUGUGGCCCGCACGUCUCUGUUCUCUCCAAGUAACAUGCGACGGUGUCUGGUGUCACGUCUCGCCUGAGAAGCCCGUCUUAGGAAAGCUUAGCUUGAACACAGUGCUCGGGAGGUUUCUGCUCUGUCUGUCAUGGCAGUCUCUUGGUUUGUGUCUGGCCAAGGCCAUGCGUGUGCCUCGGACCGAGCCCCAGCUUAGGCGAGGGAGUCAGGCUGGCUUCGGCCCUCGGUUUUCAUUCAGGCCACCCUGCUCAUGGCCCUUCCUGGCCGCCUGCCACACCGCAAGCUCGCUGGGGGGACACUAGAAGCACCGUGGCCUGGGAUUCCAUCUGGAGCUGUCCGCAGGCACCAGCCCCAGCCUCCCACCACGCUCACUGCCUGGCUUGGAAAAGUUAAGAAGCCCCUCAGGAAGAGAAUCGAGGCCAAGUUCCUCUGCGCCGAGGGCCCCGAGCAUAUCCGCCAAGGCUCAGCUGCAGUGCCAGGCGGAGGAGGAAGAUCCAGAAAUUGUGAACAAUGUUUGAUUUAGUAGCGUGACUUGCCUUUCCCUUUAAAAACAUCUUUUACAAAUCUGUCUUGGAAUAAAGUCUAUUUUCUGCC